rnacentral:lncRNA from 1 species
UUACAUUACAUAACUAUUCAUAACUUUACAAUUUCAUCAUGUCCACAUUCUAUCUAUUACAUAUAAACGACUUCAAUACUCUUGCGGACCUCCUGGUCUACCCUGUACCUGCAUACCUGGGGUUAAGGGGAAAGGGGUGAGCUACAAGAGCCCAUUGAGCAGAAUAAUAAAACAUUUAAAACAUAUGAUAACAUGAAAUGCAUCACAUCACAACUAAUCAUAUCAAGGAUGAACUUGUCACCAUUUAGCCCUCUACAUAUUCCAAUCAUGCCAGGGGCGUAGUGCAGGCCACACCUGGUCUUUCUCUUAUACAUAACAUAACAUACAUAAUCCAUAGUGCCGGGGGCGUAGUGCAGGCCACGUCCGGUCUUUCUCUUACAUAGUGCCAGGGGCGUAGUGCAGGCCACACCUGGACUUCCAUAUCAUAUCAUCAUGUCAUAACAUAUGAGGGCUAAUGGAUCAUUCAACAUUCAUCCACAUCCACAACAUAUUAUGCAAUGCAACAUAU